rnacentral:lncRNA from 1 species
UGUUCACGGCAUCCUAGAAUAAAAACUACAUUUCACAGUCUCCUUUGUGUGGUCUUGGGGCUAAGUGCUGGCCAAUGGAAUGUACGCAGAAGUGUCACAAGUGACUUCCAGGAAGCAUUCUUCAAGCUUCAAGGGAGGGGUGGGCCCUUUUUGUUGCCUUCCUCCUUCCUAUUGGCCAGAAAGCGUAAGCAUCAUAUUGGACCAUGAGGUAGUGAGGAACAUUUGGAAGCCACAAGUUGAGAAUGGCAAAACCUGAGAGAAAUUAAGUGAGGUGAAUCACGAAAUGGGAGAUGAAAGGAUGAGGUGUUGGGGGGAGCGUAUGAAGAUCUGAGGAGACAAGGCAGAUUUAAAACAGUUGCUGCAGAGAGGAGGAGACAGCGAGCUGACCCAACCCUCAGCUCCAGUGGAGAAGCAGGGCUUCAUCUUCUGGACACCAGCACAUCUUAGAUUGUGCCUUCCUUGUCAACACCAAGGCAAGCUGAGCCAGGAGGAUAGUGGAAGGUCACACAGGUAGAAAACCUGCUGACCAAACUGCCCCUGGUAAGAGUUACUUGGGAAGCUGAACCAAAGAUUUUUGCUGCUAUGUUGACUCACAGUAGAAUGUGAGCAGACAAGACACUGUAGAUGAGCCACUCCUGAGGAGCUCUGUUAAAUAUAGAUAAAGUGGAGGAGGGAGUCAGGCUGGCUGCCUUCCUAUUUAGGAUCUAGCAGAAACCCCAUUAGGAAAUAUUCCGUUCUGAAUGGCUUCUGGCUAAAUGGCUUGUGAGGAAACAGCCUGAUCAAUGCACCAGACCUAAUACAUUUUGGGUUCGAUCCCUUAAUAUGUGUAAGCAUUUACACUGCAAGUAAGAGGAAAUUCUCGCUGGAAUGACCAGGCCAAGAAAAGAAAAAUGGAAACGACCUAAAAUGCCUAACAAUGGAAAUGAGUUGAAUCCAUCUGGCUCAUAGACAUGACGAAAUACUGAAUGGCCACCAUAAAUGGACAUAUGUUUAUUGAUGAGGAAAGAUCUUUAUAACAUAUUGUCAAGUGAACAAAAAAGCAUGCUAUAAAAAAAGGUCAUGCAGAAUAAUCUUAUUUUGUAAAAAAAAAAAAAGUGUGUAU